rnacentral:rRNA from 1 species
GAUGGRAUCAAAAUGCGAUACUUGGUGUGAAUUGCAGAAYCCCGUGAACCAUCGAGUUUUUGAACGCAAGUUGCGCCCGAAGCCAUCCGGNUUAGGGCACGCCUGCCUGGGCGUCACGCAUCGCGUCGCCCCAC